AAUUUGAUCCACGCAGGGUAAUAAUGGGUGCGUCCACUAUUCACCCAUUCCAGUAUUUUAAAUAGCUUUGAUGCCUUGCAGUGUUAAUUUGUCACAAUACAAUUGAAUGAUCACUUAUAAGAUUUGCUCCAUUUUAAUCAAGAUUUUUUUAAGCAUCAGUAUCAUACAAUAAUACACUAAAUGGAAUGAUUCUACAUUAAUCUUACAGUAAAGCAAUAUCAUUAAAAUGCAAAAAGAACUGCAGCGGGAGCAUAUUCAAAAUACACACAAAGAAAAAAGGUCUACAGUGAAAACAAAAAAUGAACAAUUACACAUUAGAGCGAUGUUUUUUUUUUAGAUGAAAAACAGUCGCUCAGGAUUCGGUUUAUCCCACUGAAAUGACUAACUUUAAGUCCAUUCAUCUACAUAUCUAACACAUGAAUAAAUAACACAAUGUAAUAACUGUAUUCAUAGAAAUACAGUGUAUACCAAUGGAAAAUUCCUAUAAUAAAGUACCAAUUAGAGAAGCAUUGAAAGCUGAAUUUCAUUUAAAGUGCAAAGUACGUAAUAGAUUAAGCUGAUACAGAAAUAAGGACACCUACAUGAUAUUAUUAUAAAUAUGAAUAAGUUGCGCUCAUUUUUCUAGUUAUUUGAAAUUUUCGCUUUGCAGUGGUCUUAUACAGUAAUUAGUGGAGACCAACAAGAAUGGCGAUUCAAAUGAUGGAAAUAUUGCUGAAUUAAAUGAAUACCAGCCAGAUUCAUGAAAUGAAAAACUAGGUACAGUGAUUAAUGUGGUCAUAACACAGUUUCAUUGAAUAGCCUUCGUAUGAGAUAUGAAAUUAAAAUAUAAUAUUUUGACACAGACCAGUGAAUAUCAUUUUACGAUGAUAAAAGUAUAACUUGAAUCAGAAAUAUUUCAAAAUCACCUAUAAAAUGAAUUUAAUCAAGAAUUGAUUAAAUGAUUACACAAAUAUUUCAGUUUAGGACAUUGUAUUGAUGGCAAUGUGGAGGUAUGACUUAAACAAGUAAAUUGACAUACCAAUCUUUUUGAUACUGGUACAUCGCAGAGAUUCAUAUUCAAAUAUUUGUUUGAAAAUGUCAUAUGUUGGUCAGAGACAAUUUGAUAAUAUCGAUACUAAUUUAAAAACCUAAAUCGAAGGAGUUUCAUAGUCAUAGUCAUUUCAAUAGCACAUGCUCGAGUCAAGUUAUUUACAGCCAAAAAACUCCCAGCAAAUUCAAUUUUGCUGAAAUUAAAGCAUCAUUCUCAAUUAAAACUGAAAUUAAAGAGAAAUAAUAACUGUUUACAAUGUACAGCUCACUAUAACCGAAAUGGAGCCAUAAAAGAUAAAUUGUAUGCUGGUUCAACAAAAAACUAUGGUAGAUAUUUUCUAUUUGUUUGAAUAAAGUUAAUGCUACAUAAAAAAGAACAGACCUAGCCAGGGUGAGCAAAUAAUGCUGUAUAAAUAAAUGAUCAACUGAAGUACCACACUAUGAAUAAACAACACUUGUAUGGUAUUGGUGGGUACGGCAACAUUCGUGAAUAUGGAUACACUGUGUAUACAGUGGUGAGGUGAAAAUUACCGUAUACUAUUACACUGUUAAUCUGUCAAAAUGCCUUGUAUAUUAUUGAAAACGACGUAAGGAAGAUUUACUAAGAUAUAAAAUGAUGGCACGAUUAUUUGAUAACACAAAAAUAUAGAAAAAAGUACGGUUGAAUCAAAUAUGUCAACAUGAUCAAUGGAAAUUCACUGAGAUUAUAAUAAACAUAUUUCCAAAUAAUGUGUUACAGAAAUAUGUUGGUAAUAAAAAAAAAAUGAA